UCUUAAAUAUUUUAAAUUAAUAAAUUUUUUAGUUCAUAAGUUGCUUAAAAAUACUAAAAUAAUUAAAUAAAAUUUAAUUUUUAACAAUUUAAUUAAUUUAACAUCAAAAAUUAAAACUAAUUACAUUUUAAGUAGACUUAAUUUGUUGUACCUUUUGUAUCAGGGUUGGUUAAAAAUAGAACUGUAAAUUUGCUUCUCGAAAAAAAGCUAUAUAAAAUUUUAAUAAAUUAUUGUAAAAUUAAUAAAUAAAAUAAAAUUUUAGAUUUUAUAUAAAAUCAAGCUUUUUAUAUCUAGUUGUUGCUUAAAUCAGUUUAAAUGAACAUUACACUCUAUUAAAAUUAUAUUUUUUUGUGUAAUUUAAUAUUUUAGAAGCUAAGUUCUAAGAUAAAAUAAAUCUUCAUAUUUUAAUAACUAAAGUAAAAUUAAAAUUUUUUAAACAGUAAAAUAUGUUAUAAUAUUAGCUAUAGAAUCUAAAUUUAAAUGUUAAAUUAUUAAGACUAAGUAACUUGGCUUAACACAAAAUAAAGCUAGCACAAAUGAUUAAAUAACUAUACUUUUAAAACUUAAGUAUAAAAAACUCGGCAAUUAUAUAAAUUUUCAACUGUUUAACAAAAACAUAGUUUAUGGUUUACUUUCUUAAAUAUUUUCUGCUCAAUGAAGUUUAAAUAGCUGCAGUAAAUUAACUGUACUAAGGUAGCAUAAUAAAUUGUUUUUUAAUUAAAAACUAGAAUGAAAGAAUAAAUGAAAAAUUAUCUUUUUAAACUAUUAAUAAGUAAAAUUUAAUAUUUAAGUUAAAAAUCUUAAAUUAAUUUUAAAAGACAAAAAGACCCUUUAGAAUUUAAUAACAAUAAGUAUAAACUGCUUUGAUUUAUUAAGUUGGGGAGACUAUAAAACUUAAAUCUUUUAUAUUGUUUAAUCACUUUAUUUGUGCCAACUAACAACCCAGAAACUGGAUUUAAAUCAAUUUACCUAAGGGAUAACAGCGUAAAAUUUUUUGAAAGAUCAAAUUUAUAAAAUUUAUUACGACCUCGAUGUUGGAUUAGGGAACAUCUUAAAAGAAAAAUUUUUAGUGUUUGGUCUGUUCGACCAGUAGGGCCCUACAUGAUCUGAGUUCAGACCGGCGUAAGCCAGGUCAGCUUAUAUCUUUAAAUUUAAAAUUUAUUAUAGUACGAAAGGAUUUAAUAAAAUAAAUAGUUU
rnacentral:rRNA from 1 species